rnacentral:rRNA from 1 species
GACGAACGCUGGCGGCGUGCCUAAUACAUGCAAGUCGAACGCAGUGGGGACGGGGGAGUAACACGUGGGUAACCUCCCAUCAGAGGGGAUAACACUUGGAAACAGGUGCUAAACCGAUACUGAUGGAUGAACCCGCGGUGCAUUAGCUAGUUGGUGAGGUAACGGCUGACCAAGGGCACGAUGCAUAGGCGACCUGAGAGGGGGAUCGGCCACACUGGGGCUGAGACGCGGCCCAGAAUCCUACGGGAGGCAGAAGUAGGGAAUCUUCGGCAAUGGACGCAAGUCUGACCGAGCAACGCCGCGUGAGUGAAGAAGGUUUUCGGAUCGUAAAACUCUGUUGUUAGAGAAGCGGUAUCUAACCAGAAAGCCACGGCUAACUACGUGCCAGCAGCCGCGGUAAUUC